UGGGGAAUAUUGCACAAUGGGCGCAAGCCUGAUGCAGCCAUGCCGCGUGUGUGAAGAAGGCCUUCGGGUUGUAAAGCACUUUCAGCGAGGAGGAAGGUGGUGAACUUAAUACGUCAUCAAUUGACGUUACUCGCAGAAGAAGCACCGGCUAACUCCGUGCCAGCAGCCGCGGUAAUACGGGAGGUGCAAGCGUUAAUCGGAAUUACUGGGCGUAAAGCGCACGCAGGCGGUUUGUUAAGUCAGAUGUGAAAUCCCCGGGCUCAACCUGGGAACUGCAUUUGAAACUGGCAAGCUAGAGUCUCGUAGAGGGGGGUAGAAUUCCAGGUGUAGCGGUGAAAUGCGUAGAGAUCUGGAGGAAUACCGGUGGCGAAGGCGGCCCCCUGGACGAAGACUGACGCUCAGGUGCGAAAAGCGUGGGGAGCAAAACAGGAUUAGAUACCCUGGUAGUCCACGCUGUAAAACGAUGUCGAUUUGGAGGUUGUGCCCUUGAGGCGUGGCUUCCGGAGCUAACGCGUUAAAUCGACCGCCUGGGGGAGUACGGCCGCAAGGUU
rnacentral:rRNA from 1 species